rnacentral:rRNA from 1 species
GGUGAACAGCGGAGGGACAUUAU